rnacentral:lncRNA from 1 species
GAGAAAGGACAUGCACCCUUCUGCACACGAGUGAUUUCCUUAACCCCGUUGAUCCAGACUUCGAGAAAAUAUCAACACUCCUCACUUUGCGAUUUUCUUCCAUCACAACCUCGUGACACUCAGUCUCCAUCUGAACCAACUUCCUCUGAGACUCAUGUGCUUUCUCAACAAGAUCACCACACUGAAUAUCAAACUUCUCAAAUUAAACUUGAUUUGACACCAAGAAAUCAUCUAAAUUUUUUUGAAGUUGAGUAUUGUAAUCUAUGUUGACCACUUCCUCCUCUUUUUCUUUAACUAUGUAUUGCUCCUCGCAAAAGGUAGUACAAUGAUAACCUCCAAAAAAAUCGCAACACAUACUCAAUCUUGUUUCCAAAUCGUUUAUAUGUAGAGAUUGUUGGAUUAAUUAUUUAGUUAAUCAAUUAUGGAUUGACAAUAAUCAAUUAUUAUAAGUUAAUGUCAUAAUAUAAA